UCCAGAUGCCACCAGGGCCCCAGCCCUUUC
rnacentral:piRNA from 1 species